rnacentral:rRNA from 1 species
GACGAACGCUGGCGGCGUGCCUAAUACAUGCAAGUAGAACGCUGAAGGAGGAGCUUGCUUCUCUGGAUGAGUUGCGAACGGGUGAGUAACGCGUAGGUAACCUGCCUGGUAGCGGGGGAUAACUAUUGGAAACGAUAGCUAAUACCGCAUAAGAGUAGAUGUUGCAUGACAUUUGCUUAAAAGGUGCAAUUGCAUCACUACCAGAUGGACCUGCGUUGUAUUAGCUAGUUGGUGGGGUAACGGCUUACCAAGGCGACGAUACAUAGCCGACCUGAGAGGGUGAUAGGCCACACUGGGACUGAGACACGGCCCAGACUCCUACGGGAGGCAGCAGUAGGGAAUCUUCGGCAAUGGACGGAAGUCUGACCGAGCAACGCCGCGUGAGUGAAGAAGGUUGUCGGAUCGGAAAGCUCUGUUGUAAGAGAAGAACGAGUGUGAGAGUGGAAAGUUCACACUGUGACGGUAUCUUACCAGAAAGGGACGGCUAACUACGUG